UCUCCGUAGGUGAACCUGCGGAGGGAUCAUUACCGAGUGAGGGUUCCGGCCCGACCUCCAACCCUUUGUGAAUUCGACCCAGUUGCCUCGGGGGCGACCCUGCCGUUCGCGGCGUGGGGCCCCCGGAGCCCAUCAAACCCUGCAUCUCUGCGUCGGAGUCUUAAUGAAUUUAAACAAAACUUUUAACAACGGAUCUCUUGGUUCGGGCAUCGAUGAAACGCAGC
rnacentral:misc_RNA from 1 species